ACCCAUGUUUCCCUAUAUAAGCCUCAUUUCCUAUUCAUUUUUUACUUUUUCACUAUCAGUAAACCUUGUUGGAGUCGUCGGGAUAAGGUGAGUCCUCUAGACUUUAAGUUGUUUGUUUUUAGAAAAGUCUAAAUUUAAGAUAGGAUGUCGAGCAGUGAUAGUAAUACGUCGUCCUCGAGUUCAGGAACCCCAACCGAGGACUUAG
rnacentral:lncRNA from 1 species